rnacentral:misc_RNA from 1 species
AAAGAUGGCGGCCUCCAGGUAGCGGUAAAUUGAAACAUGUCUUCAAAAGCAUUAAAAAUCUUGGUCUCAGGCGAUGUUGAGGGGAACCUAGACAAAUUGUUUGGCCGUGUCAACACCAUACAGAAGAAAAGUGGUAGCUUUGAUUUGCUGUUGUGUGUUGGAGAAUUCUUUGGGAGUAACACCAGUGAAUGGGAGAAGUACAAGAGUGGUCAAAGCAAAGUCCCAAUAAGCACCCUGAUACUAGGACCCAAUGACCCGGCCUUGUCGGAGUGUUACCAGAACAACACAGAUGGGGUGGAGCUUUGUGAAAAUCUGACCUACCUAGGUAGAAAAGGAACUUUCACAGGUAGCUCAGGCCUGUCUGUGGCGUAUCUGAGUGGGAAGGAAGGGGACCGGUCCGAGCUGGGGGUCUUCUCUCGGCAGGAUGUGUCCAGCCUUCUUCUGCCCUGUGAGGGGGACACAAAGUUCAGGGGAGUGGACAUCUUACUGACCUCUCAAUGGCCAAAACAACCAGCUAAAUAUGCAUCAGAUGUGGAGCUGGACACAGAGCAGUGUGGGUCGGACCUGAUCAGUCAGCUGGCCCUCGGGCUGCGGCCUCGCUAUCACUUCUGUGCCACUGAAGAUGUCUUCUAUGAGCGACAGCCUUACAGAAAUCACAUGGUCUUAGUGGAGAAAGAGAAACAUGUGACCAGGUUCAUUUCUCUUGCCAAAGUAAACAACUCUCAGAAGAAAAAAGUAAGCAUAUCCUGUGAAAAGUUACUUCUCGGUUUAUAAAAUAUUUAUAUGCUUUCAAUAUCAUUCCACUUUGCAACAUGGAUGAGGCGGAAUUAACCAAACAGCCAAGUGAUGUAAAAGAGUGUCCAUAUAAAAAAGGGUCGUUUAACCAUCCUGACAAGGAUGAGCAUGCUCAGUAUUUCUAUGAUACCAAUACUACAGAAAAAGGGAAAAAGAGGAAGAGAGAAGAUAAGAGAGAACAAAAAAAGCACCCCCGCCCGUCCGGACCCUGCUGGUUUUGUCUUGGAUCCCCUGAGGUAGAGAAACACCUUGUGGUCAGUGUAGGGACUGAGUGUUACCUGGCCCUGGCUAAGGGUGGCCUAGUGCCAGACCACGCCCUAAUUCUGCCGAUCGGUCACCACCAAUCAAUGGUCCUCGCCCCUGAUGGCGUCAGAGAGGAAAUCGACAAAUACAAAAAAGCUCUGAUUGAACUCUACAAGCAGAACAAUAAAAGUGUCAUAUUUUUUGAGAGAAAUUAUAAGACUCAGCAUCUUCAGAUACAGGCAGUGCCAUUCCCAGAUGACAGAAAGCAAGAAGCUAAAGAUAGCUUUAUGGAAUGUGCAGAAGCUGAAUCUUUAACAUUAGAUGAAAUUCCUAAACACUCUGAUCUCAAGCAGAUCGUUCCUGUUGGGGCACCUUAUUUUUAUGCAGAACUUCCCACAGGGGAAAAAUUGCUGCAUAGGAUCUCCAAAAAUUUUCCUCUCCAGUUUGGCAGAGAGGUUCUGGCCAGCGUCCAACUGCUGAACAUGCCAGAGCGCGUGGACUGGAAGGCUUGUAAAAUAAAUCGGCAGGAGGAGGAGACACAUGCUGAGGAUUUUAGGAGGCAGUUUGAACAGUUUGAUUUUACUUUGGAAUAAAAACAGCAAGUGAUCAGUUUUAGUGGAGAGUGUCAAAACUUUAAAAAUAUGUGUGCAAUAGUUUGAGGAACUGGAACACUCUGUUAUAUCUGACCUGACAGCAUGAAAUGUAUGAUAAAUUUGGUCUGUGUGUCUUGGAGGUUGUAUUUUAGCAAAGAAUCAUUGAAUAUGUCUUGAGAAACAUGUUUUUACCAGUAAGUGGUAAUGAAAUAUUUAAAAUGAAAUAUUCAAAUGAAAAAUAUCUCCAUUUAAUAUAACAGAAUAUUUUUGUUAAAUUGUAUUCAGUUUUGUUGCAACAAAUGUGCAGCCAUCUACUGAAGUUAAAUUCUGUAAGACUAAGUAUUCUGAAACCAUGUAAUAAUAGAUGCAAGGACAUGAAUUUGUAUUAAAAAGUUUUU